UACGUAGGUGGCAAGCGUUGUCCGGAUUUACUGGGCGUAAAGGGCGUGCAGGCGGUCUGUUAAGUGCAGGGUGAAAGCUCCCGGCUCAACUGGGAGAGGUCCUUGCAUACUGGCGGACUUGAGGGGGGUAGAGGAAAGUGGAAUUCCCGGUGUAGUGGUGAUAUGCGUAGAUAUCGGGAGGAACACCAGUGGCGAAGGCGGCUUUCUGGCCUGCUCUUGACGCUGAGGCGCGAAAGCUAGGGUAGCAAACGGG
rnacentral:rRNA from 1 species